rnacentral:rRNA from 1 species
GACGAACGCUGGCGGCGUGCUUAACACAUGCAAGUCGAACGGAAAGGCCCUGCUUUUGUGGGGUGCUCGAGUGGCGAACGGGUGAGUAACACGUGAGUAACCUGCCCUUGACUUUGGGAUAACUUCAGGAAACUGGGGCUAAUACCGGAUAGGAGCUCCUGCUGCAUGGUGGGGGUUGGAAAGUUUCGGCGGUUGGGGAUGGACUCGCGGCUUAUCAGCUUGUUGGUGGGGUAGUGGCUUACCAAGGCUUUGACGGGUAGCCGGCCUGAGAGGGUGACCGGCCACAUUGGGACUGAGAUACGGCCCAGACUCCUACGGGAGGCAGCAGUGGGAAAUAUUGCACAAUGGGCGGAAGCCUGAUGCAGCAACGCCGCGUGCGGGAUGACGGCCUUCGGGUUGUAAACCGCUUUCGCCUGUGACGAAGCGUGAGUGACGGUAAUGGGUAAAGAAGCACCGGCUAACUACGUGCCAGCAGCCGCGGUGAUACGUAGGGUGCGAGCGUUGUCCGGAUUUAUUGGGCGUAAAGGGCUCGUAGGUGGUUGAUCGCGUCGGAAGUGUAAUCUUGGGGCUUAACCCUGAGCGUGCUUUCGAUACGGGUUGACUUGAGGAAGGUAGGGGAGAAUGGAAUUCCUGGUGGAGCGGUGGAAUGCGCAGAUAUCAGGAGGAACACCAGUGGCGAAGGCGGUUCUCUGGGCCUUUCCUGACGCUGAGGAGCGAAGGCGUGGGGAGCGAACAGGCUUAGAUACCCUGGUAGUCCACGCUGUAAACGGUGGGUACUAGGUGUGGGGUCCAUUCCACGGGUUCCGUGCCGUAGCUAACGCUUUAAGUACCCCGCCUGGGGAGUACGGCCGCAAGGCUAAAACUCAAAGGAAUUGACGGGGCCCCGCACAAGCGGCGGAGCAUGCGGAUUAAUUCGAUGCAACGCGUAGAACCUUACCUGGGUUUGACAUGGAUCGGGAGUGCUCAGAGAUGGGUGUGCCUCUUUUGGGGUCGGUUCACAGGUGGUGCAUGGCUGUCGUCAGCUCGUGUCGUGAGAUGUUGGGUUAAGUCCCGCAACGAGCGCAACCCUUGUUCACUGUUGCCAGCACGUUAUGGUGGGGACUCAGUGGAGACCGCCGGGGUCAACUCGGAGGAAGGUGGGGAUGACGUCAAGUCAUCAUGCCCCUUAUGUCCAGGGCUUCACGCAUGCUACAAUGGCUGGUACAGAGAGUGGCGAGCCUGUGAGGGUGAGCGAAUCUCGGAAAGCCGGUCUCAGUUCGGAUUGGGGUCUGCAACUCGACCUCAUGAAGUCGGAGUCGCUAGUAAUCGCAGAUCAGCAACGCUGCGGUGAAUACGUUCCCGGG